UUGAUUUUGAAGAGAAAGGAACACAAAAACCUUGAAAGAUCGAUUCCUAAUUUUUUUGGAUUCUCUUAAAUAAAAACAUCAGAUUGAUUCUUUCUAAUUUGAUUCAUCUUCUUCGACUAAAAUUAUUGCAAAAGAAAAAAAAUAAUCAGAGCUGGACAAAUGUUCCGUGGGCUCACGGUUCACUUUCUCUUGAGAAUAAAGUUUCAGAUCUAGUUUUUGUUUUGCCUGAGUUAUCGUCCGAGCAGCAACAAGAAGAGUGAGCAAUCUUUCACUCCCGUCAGCGCAGCGGUGGGUUUCUGACAAGCAACGUGGCAGUGACGCAUCCACGGUGGCUGGGACGUGUGUUGCAGAGCGACGGAGUUAUCCAACUUGGGAAAGGAUUAGGAUUAGGAAAGGAUUAGAGCUGUUGAAACCGGUGAAGAUAUCAGCAUCAACUUGGGUCAUCUUGAGGAGUUAUCCAACUUAUUCAAAGCUGAUCUGCUUCUUUGUGAAUCCGGUGGAGGUGAGGUUUCAGUUCUUUUACCUGCGUGUGUCUUUGAUUCAGGUCAGUUCAAGGAGCUGAAAUCGAUACUACUCCUCCGUUCGGGUCAGUUCAAGAAGCUGUGACCCGAUUCAGUGGUCAUGGUUCUUGGGUUCCUUUCAAGCUUGAAGACAGUUUCGUAAGUUUUGUUCUUUUCUCAGUUUCUUACAUACAAACACAUUUGAUCCUUUGAUUUGUGACCAUUGCCCAUUGUUCUUGAGGUCUUUUAACUGAAGCUGAGUAAAGUUUCAUGAUUUCUGUUGAGGGUGGAGGUGAGGUUUCAGCAGAGAGCUUGCUGACUAUGUACAUCAUCAAUGUAUCCGCUGGUGAUAAAAUACCCCGUAAAGGUGGCCCUGGCAUAUUUGUUACAUACACAAUUACGGAAAGCCCCCUCCUUCAAGAGGCAGCGAAGUGAACGUUCGAUUCCGACAGCGGCGAGAAAGAGAAAGAGAGAGAAAAUGACUAAGAAAGCUCCCAAUUCAGGGUUAUCGCGGCCUUUGUCUCUGUCGUGCAGUGGAGGCUUUCUUGUAGAGCAAAGUUUACAGAACAAAGUUUUGGUUUUUACCUGGUUCUGCUCUGAUUUCCUGAUCUGUUUAGGGUUUAAGGGGUCUUCUUAGUCUCUCUUGUGAUUACUGAUUAAGUGGUUAGGUAUGCAAUUUGGAUCUAACUGAAAUUAAAUUUGAGAGCUUUAUGCUAUUCAACGGAGAUGGGUGAGAAUAAUUAGGGAGAGAGGAUGGAUGUUAAACUUUUGUUAAUUUGCGUUUUGAAAUUUUUUUACAGGAACGUAGAUUUAGCUGUGAAGUCAAGUGAAAGUGUGAGAAGGUCUACAAGACUGAGACUUCAGCCAUUGAGAAAGCCAAAUAUAAGCCAGAGGAAGAAACCUGCUAAACUUUGUUCCAAGAUGCCUAAGCAAACUCUAUUAGAUUUUAAGCUCAGCUGAACUUCAAGGCAGUCCUCUCUUAAGGGGAAGUUUGUCUGUGCAUUUUGCCAUUGGUCUUUAGGAUUUGUGUUGUUGUUAUGUGUUACUUUUAGAAAACAUACAAAGAAACACCUUUUGUAUGUAUUUUCCUCAUACUGCGUUAUGUUUUUGGUUCCUUAGGGAGGAUUUCCGGAAGCAAUAUCAAGAGCAGAAUCCGGAGGUCAAGUCCAUGCGCGAGAUUGGGAAGUCAUGUGUAGAGAAAUGAAAAACAAUGAUAUACGAGAGGAGGAAGAUUCAAUUUGUAGUGACCGACGACAGAUAUCAACGACGACUCUAGUGCAUAUAAUCCGCAAGUUUUGUCUUUGAAAUUGGAGAGUCACAUUCACCAAAUCGGAGAGUCACAGUCACAUUCUUCGGUGGAUCCGAUUUGCACAUACACGUUGGAGGAGGAACAUGAAAGAGGUUCUGGAGGCAAUACAAACUGUUGAGUUCCAACGCUGUAUGGUCCCUCUGUUCCAACAGAUUGCUCGAUGCCUCAGUAGCUCCAAUUUUCAAUUUUUGUCUCAGAUCUUGAUUAGUUUAUAAUGAAGCGAGGAAGAAAGAGAUGGAAUCAAUUUGAUUCAGUUGCUUUGGGCUUUUUAUUUGGUGAAGAUUACAGUUUGUUUUGGUAGUGUUUUCACAUGGUGAGCUUAUGAAACAGUGACGGAACCUAUAUGCGUCUCAAUGUUUUAAAUCGGUUUUUGCUGCAGCUUGAAUGGUUUUGUGUUGGUGUACCUGUGAGAUUGAUGGUCUGAUUGUAGAGAUGUGAGAUUUGAGAUGCAAGUGUUGGUGAUGGAACCUAAUUAAACAAUUAUAUAAGUCAUUGUUCUUAGCAUACUAAAGAUAAAUAAUUAAAGCUCUACCAUAGUCAUGAUAGGUGACUUUCAGUUGGUUUUAUUAUCUUCUCUUUAGCUGAUUUCAUUGUAUCACCGAGUUUGCAGUGGCUUUAAAGAUCUAUUUGAUUAGCAACAUUUCAUUGAGGAGUUGAAGGAUGAUAUUCAAUGAUGAUUUUUUUUUCUUUUCAAAACUAAGAACCUUACUUAUAAGAGUUUACCAUUGGAGGAGUACAAUUUUAAUUAACAAACAAAAGGUUCUUAAUUUAUAAAAGUACACUUUUUAAAACUAAAAAGUGUAAGAACCCCAAAAAUACAAACCUACCAAUAAAGAUGCUCUUAUGAUAUAGUCACUGUGAAGAGGGAAGAGUUUCACAGAGAAAUGACAGAAUAUAACAAGAGAAUGGAAUUAGGUGAACACGAUGAAUCAGAGACUGACUCAGAA